GGGGAUUUAGCUUAGCGGCAUAAGCGCCUGCCUUGUAAGCAGGCAAUCGCCAGUUUGAUCCCUGGUACUGACUA
rnacentral:tRNA from 1 species